GACGAACCGUGCAAACGUUGUUCGGAAUCACUGGGCUUAAAGGGCGCGUAGGCGGCGGGGUAAGUCGGAUGUGAAAUCUCAGGGCUCAACCCUGAAACUGCAUUCGAUACUGCCUUGCUCGAGGACUGGAGAGGAGAUUGGAAUUCACGGUGUAGCAGUGAAAUGCGUAGAUAUCGUGAGGAAGACCAGUGGCGAAGGCGGAUCUCUGGACAGUUCCUGACACUGAGGCACGAAGGCCAGGGGAGCAAACGGG
rnacentral:rRNA from 1 species